rnacentral:rRNA from 1 species
UACAGAGGGGACUAGUGUUAUUCGGAAUUACUGGGCGUAAAGCGUGCGCAGGCGGUUUUGUAAGCCAGAUGUGAAAUCCCCGGGCUUAACCUGGGAAUGGCAUUUGGGACUGCAAGGCUUGAGUGCGGCAGAGGAGACUGGAAUUCCUGGUGUAGCAGUGAAAUGCGUAGAUAUCAGGAGGAACACCGAUGGCGAAGGCAGGUCUCUGGGCUGACACUGACGCUCAUGCACGAAAGCGUGGGGAGCAAACAGG